CUGUUUUAAUCCCUUCUUUUCCCUUCAUGCAGCAGUGUACCCGAAUCACAGCUAAGAGUCCAUGCUGUGGUUUCCCGUUCAGGCUCCCAUAAUCCCAUACUAGCCGGGCAACCCGUUCCCUACACUCCACGCACCUCCUCGAAAAAUGGGUUUGACACACAAUGUAGCAGCCCACAGCUGCCUGCUCCAGCUUCCAAGGCCUGGAAUUUAGACAGGUAUUAUACCCACGCAUAUGACAUUGUAAGGGUCCACUAUUCGGCAAAGAAUGAUACCCUGGACCCAGAUAGUAUGUAAAUGCAGUGUUUUAUUAUGCAGAAGUCUAGCAUUCUAGGAUCUCCCAUUACCCAGAUAGAGAGACAACCAGUUGAGCUUUCAGGCCUGAUUUAAAGCACAUUAGGGGAAUCUGAGGUAGGUGACCUUUAUCUUACUCCAUCUUUAGGGACAUCCCAUUACCAAGGAAUGGGGGCUGAAAAUUGUUCCUGAGGAAGUCUGGAAACUGGUAUUGACCUUGCUUCAGUCCAGGUGGUAGGGCAGCUUCUGAGGCCUGGACUUGCCAUGACUUGUCCAGUUCUUGGAAACAGAGAUUUAGGCCUGAACUGCCAAUUUGAAGCCAGUUAUGGAAUCAGCCUUAAUGCACCUGGUGAGAUGGCUCUGGGAGGUCAUGAGCAGCCUGGCUGUAUUCCAAUGGCUGCAGACACAUGCCAGGUGACCCCUGUCUUCUGUGCUCUGGUAGUCCUCAUUGUCUUUUCUGGCUCCAUUGAAAGAGCAGAAAUAUUUCCUCUGGACCCAUCAGUGCCUGAUCAUGAACAGUGUGUGUGUGCAUGCGUGUGCGCUCACGCGUGAGAGAGAGAGAGAGAGAGAGAGAGAGAGAGAGACCGACAGACAGACAGACAGAGACAGAGACAGAGACAGAGACAGAGAGACAGAGACAGAGACAGAGAGAGAAAGAGACAGAGAGAGAAAGAGACAGAGACAGAGAGACAGAGACAGAGACAGAGAGACAGAGACAGAGAGAAAGACAGAGAGAGAGAGAGAGAGAGAGAGAGAGAGAGAGAGAGAGAGUUAAAAUUCUAUGCAGGUAUUUACUUCUCCAACUUAAAAAGCAGAGGCUCCUGAGUCUUAGUCUUUCUACAAAGUGUACACAGUUAGCUGUCCUUAUGUGAUAAACUGGACUAGCUAAUCUCCCACUCUUCCCAUUCUCUGAUGGCCACAUCUGUGUCCCUAGAGGUUCUCUCCAGCAUUUGUGUAUUCACCAGCACAGCAGACUACCUUGAUUCUCUAGUUGGACUUUUAUGACACCUGCAGAUUUUACCCUUCUAGACUAAGUCUUAUCUCCUAAGUCUCUUAGUUCUCUUUUGAAUAGGUGGAUCCGCAGGUAUGUCAGGAAUAUCCCUUGAUGCCCUCUUGCAAACACUACCAUGGUAAGAAGCAAGCCUACAUCUGCUGAGCUUCACAAACAGGCUUCCCUUUCCAUGAAGAUCUGGCCUAUUGUUGUUUCCUCACCCCACAGAUAUGUUCUUCCUAAUUUUCAUUUACUCUUACUUUUCAUUAUAACAAGGUACUGAGGCCCAAGUCUAUCUAUAGUGGUGAGAAUAAAUACAUUCACAGAAAUUCAUGCAAUCCUACCAGCAUACUGGAAGAAAGAAUAUGAGUCAGAACAAGAACAAAUUUAGAAAAUACUAGAAGUAGAAAACAACAAGCACUAUUACUGUACUCUUACAGUAUGGCAUGGUUGUUUCGAAAUCACUAACAACUGUUCAGCAAAUGUAUAUGAACACAUAUCUAGCCUGGGUUGUGAGGAUGCCAUGGGUGAUACUCAAAAGAACAAGAGUGAGUCUAUGCCAUCAAGGAAAUGUAUUUUGAAAAUGAACCUACAAUUUUAAGUGAUAACAUUACUCCAAGGAAAUAUAUACUAAGAAAUGCAUAAGAAAAUGAAUUGGCUCUGAGUCGUUAGGGUUUGAUGAUGAAAGACUGGCACAGUCAGUGGUAACCAUAGGAAGUUGCUAGGAGAAACAGACAUUGCAUUUGACAUUGCUAAAGAAAAGAAACCACCUCAGUAGAGGGGAGGUCCUCUGGAGGUCACAGAGAUCAUAAAAUGUAUCAAGAGCAACUAGAGGCCUCUGAAAAAACAUGCUCCUGAGUCUGGGAUUCAUGAGGACGGCAUUAUGGCUAGACUAAAUAAUGUAAUAUGUAGAAUUCAGAAUUAAUCUUAUAGAAUUCAUCUAUAGGACUUUUAAAAGGCUAAUAUUACCCUGCCCCACAAAAAAAACCUUACAUUGUUUUAAGAAAAGUAGUAUAAUCAGAUUCAUUAGGAAGCUUAGAGUAAAUUCCUGAGGUGAAGCUGGCAAAAUAGACUAAUUUAUCUCUAAUUCACAUGUUCUGUGAAAUUUAAGCAGAAGGUAAAUAAAUCAAAGAUACCCCAUGCCAAAUAAAGGAAAAUAUACUAAGCUAAGCAAAGCAAAGUAAACUGUAUGUAUGAAAAUGUGUAUUUGUAUGUGCGUGUUUGUAUGUUUAUAUGGCAUGUGUAUGUAUAUGUUUGUGUGUGCUUUUAUGUAUUUUCUCAGAUAUUUUACCCUAGUCUAAUAGUAUCUGUAUAAUACCUCCUACUCAGCUCUGAACUAUUUUCUCUGAACUCUGAACAAUCUAACUCAUGAGAAUAACUUUCUUUUUUUUCCUGAGACUAACUUUCUAAGAUACAAAUUUCAGUUAUUGAAAAGAUGCUGACUUCAGGAAGAGUACUAGUUAUUAGAAAACCUAUAUAGAUCCCUGUUUUCAGUCACAGGAACGGAAGGAGCAACUGUCUCCUCCUAUUCACUCAAGCCAAGUGUUUCCUGUCAGCCUUUCCUCUCUUCUGCUCAGAACAUGAGAGCAAUCUCAAUGCUCAAUGAAUCUGUUUACCAAAACAAAUCUGGAAUAUGACCAUUCUUCACAACUUCUUUGAUUACUUUUCUGAACAAUGUAAUUAUUGUCCUUUUAACUGGUCUCUUCCAAUUUCUGUGCUCCUGUGGCUGCUUUAUUUCUGCCAAAGCAACCAGAGUGACCUCACUAAAAACUAAUGAGAUCAUAUCUGUUCUAUGUUCCAAACUCUACAAUAGUUCUCAUUUCAUCCUCACAGGGGCAUUAUUGGGUAACAGUUUCCCCCUAGAUUUAAACAGUUAAGCAGCAGGGAAGCUCCUUAAACAGAAAGGUAAACAACUCAAAAUAAAAGCUUCAGGAAGUCCCUGAGGCUGACCAGAUUAACAGCCCUUCCUUGCCAGAGCAAACAAAACACUCAGAGAAUCCCACUCAGAAGGAAUCUGAGCUGCAAAAGUAGACACAGAGACCAGCCCAGUACUAGCCAAGUCCAUGUGGUGUCAUGGUACUUCAUUAGAAGAAGCAGCAGACGAAGAACAGACACUGAGCAUAAAGAGAUUCAGAACGGGGAUACCGGAAGCAGAUGGGGAGGAAAUGAUAGCGAUAUGUUUGAAGAAAAAAAUCAUGAGCUGUAUGUUAGUAAUAUCUAAUUCCAACAUGAGAGGGAAAAAUAUUCAAGAUCAAAAGAAAAAAGUCAAAGUCACUUUGGAAAGAUGUUCCAAGGCAGAGGAAAAAGAAAAGAGAAGAGAGAAGAAGAAAUGAGGUAAACAAUAAAUAUAGGAAGGCAACCAACAAAAGUAAGUAGGUAGAAAUAGAAAAUGGAAAGGAAAAAGGAAGAAAUAAAGACAGGAGUAAAGAAGAAUACCGAGGGUAAAAAUGUAGAAGAAACAAUAGACGUGAAGGCAGAAGUUUCAAAUGCUUGUGGGGAAGAAACACUUCAACCUGCUGUUUAUCUCCAUUGACUAACAGUACAUUAACCAUGGCUCCAAGCCUCAACAAUGCUCUUUAUCCGAUAGCUGCUUCUGUACUUGGAAGGAUGAACAGUUGGCCAAUGACUGUAACCAUUGUCACCAUUAUACUAGCUACUCUGUGGGGAAGAAUUCAAAGAUUUGCAUUUUUAUUCCUAAUAAUAUUCUCUUUAAGACUAGCCUAUUUCGUUUAAAAUUCUUGCUAUUUAGUAACAAUUAAAAACCUUCAAACAGAAAUUUUAUACCAAGCCUUCAAUUGAAAUAGAAACUCAAUACGUGUUCUGAGUUGUGAGCAAAUAAAGAUAAUAUUUUAUUGCUUUCUUUGGUUUCUGGAUUUAGCAGUUAAGAUUAACAGAUUUUGCAGGUUUUUCCUUUCUAUAUUGUUUUCCUUUUGUUUUUAGUUUAAUCUUUCUAAAGUGACUUCAAGUUCCAAAACAAUUACCCACUGUCCUUUGUGGUCUUAUCUAUUUUUAUUACUUAGCAAUAGUCACUUUCCCUCAAGCAUAGUUGCAGUAAUUAACCAGAAUAGCAGGGUAUGACUCAGAUCCUCGGAUCUUGCUCUGAGUUUUGUUCCUAGCUUCAAACUCCAAAAACAGUAUCCAAUUAGUCAGAAGGGCCAUUUCAGUCCUGCUUUUUGUGUAAUGCAUGUGCAAGCCUACUCCACAUUCAGGAGUAUC